rnacentral:rRNA from 1 species
GAUGAACGCUGGCGGCGUGCUUAACACAUGCAAGUCGAACGGAAAGGCCCUGCUUUUGUGGGGUGCUCGAGUGGCGAACGGGUGAGUAACACGUGAGUAACCUGCCCUUGACUUUGGGAUAACUCCAGGAAACUGGGGCUAAUACCGGAUAGGAGCUCCUGCUGCAUGGUGGGGGUUGGAAAGUUUCGGCGGUGGGGGAUGGACUCGCGGCUUAUCAGCUUGUUGGUGGGGUAGUGGCUUACCAAGGCUUGGACGGGUAGCCGGCCUGAGAGGGUGACCGGCCACAUUGGGACUGAGAUACGGCCCAGACUCCUACGGGAGGCAGCAGUGGGGAAUAUUGCACAAUGGGCGGAAGCCUGAUGCAGCAACGCCGCGUGCGGGAUGACGGCCUUCGGGUUGUAAACCGCUUUCGCCUGUGACGAAGCGUGAGUGACGGUAAUGGGUAAAGAAGCACCGGCUAACUACGUG